rnacentral:lncRNA from 1 species
GGUGAUUCCAAGAAGGUUCAAGUUCCAUAUCAUCAUACUUUGUCAGAAACCCACCAAAAUCUUGAAGAUGAAUGAUGAUGGAAUGAUAUGCGUGCCCUAGUUUGGGGUACAUGAGUUCGGCUUCAGGGAUUUUGGCUUGUGUUGUCUUGUGGUUGUGUGAUGUGAUUGUAACUAAAUAAUAUUUGGACACUUUUAGACUACUUUUG